rnacentral:rRNA from 1 species
UAACGCGUGAGGAACCUGCCUUCCAGAGGGGGACAACAGUUGGAAACGACUGCUAAUACCGCAUGAUGCAUUUGAAUCGCAUGGUUUGAAUGUCAAAGAUUUAUCGCUGGAAGAUGGCCUCGCGUCUGAUUAGCUAGUUGGUGAGGUAACGGCCCACCAAGGCGACGAUCAGUAGCCGGACUGAGAGGUUGGCCGGCCACAUUGGGACUGAGAUACGGCCCAGACUCCUACGGGAGGCAGCAG